rnacentral:rRNA from 1 species
UCCUACGGGGGGCAGCAGUGGGGGAUAUUGCACAAUGGGGGGAACCCUGAUGCAGCGACGCCGCGUGGGUGAAGGAGCGUUUCGGCGCGUAAAGCCCUAUCGGCAGGGAAGAAGAUGACGGUACCUGACCAAGAAGCCCCGGCUAACUACGUGCCAGCAACCGCGGUAAUACGGAGGGUGCGAGCGUUAAUCGGAAUUACUGGGCGUAAAGCGCUCGCAGGCGGGAUGUCAAGUCAAGGGGGAAAUCCCCGCGCUCAACGUGGGAACUGCCUUUGGAACUGGCAAACUGGAGUGUGUGAGAGGAU